UGCACAGGUGCGACAGGUCCCUAGGCAAACACAAGGGCCCUAAUAAGGAAGACUUGGGAUGGGAACAUUUGGAUGGAUGAGAGAUUGAACCUCUAGAUCCUUCUGAACUCUGGGCCAGCAUCAGUAGCCUCUUUCCCCUAAACAUAGGGUGGAGGAAAGCAGCCUUGUUUUCCUUAGAUCUUAUUCAAAGACCUGACCUGAGGAAGAUGCCUUGAAAGAAGAUGCUUAAUCUCCUCAAGAUCCAUCUCCACCUUGCCUCCUUCCUCCAGACCAGUAAAUAAGAAGACGUUUGCCAAAGUCCAGUCUGGAUGAUCAACCAAACAGUAAAUCAAGCCCUGAUUUGUAGCAUUUGCUGGUUUCUGUGGUGUAAAUCCUACCAUCACGGCUGAUUUCAAGCUAUCAACGUGAUGUUACUGAAAGAGAAGUUGGAAAGAGAUGCGCACUAUUUUAUACUUCUGCCAUACAGAUGUACUGGACAUAACCUCAAGAAUAUAGGCAUUCCGUGGCAGGACUACUGUUUACACACAGCCUCUUGGGUGUCAAAUGGAGCAUCAUUGAAUCCAGACAUGUUUUGGAUGACGGCAUCCACCCUACACCUGCUGCAUUAACUGACGGCACAGCGGGGAGGACCCGCUGGACCAGUUAAAGAUGGAGUGGACUGCUUGAGGUUGCUGCAGAGGCUGUUCUCAAGCUAGCCACGUUGGACCAGAGAUAAAAUGACUCCACAGACCAGCAUUAUGAAGAUGAGACCUCGUUGAAUUGUAGAAAUGCCACUGAGCCCUGGGAACCUGGAAUCAGGACAGACCAGAGAAAAUAGACAAUGCUCGUCUCAAUUUGGACUCACCAUGUAUCAAGUUGGACUCACCAUGUAUCAAGUUGGACUCGCCAGAGAAAACCCUUCCUGAGGAUGCUGAGAAAUCCUCCGUCUUCGUGGGAGGGCUCACUGGAGCAUAUUCCGGAAAUGGACGAGGGAGGGAGGUCAGCUCAUUUCGGCCGAUGGUAACUCCAGCCUGACUUAAAUCAGUCAGUUCUGCUAAGAAACAGGCUCCGUGAGUGCCCGGAGGUCAAGGUGGUAUAAAAGCCACCUGCCGUGCUCAUGCCCUGGCUGCCGGAUCAGCCCUGUGGCCAUCGGCGGUCCCACACUGCUGGCUGUCUGUCCAGUCACCUUCUGAGGCAGGACAUGAAAGAGCUGCACCUGCAAUCUGUGUGGCUGUCCACGGGCCCUUUCACCACCUCCAUGAAAGCCAGCAUCUUUUGCAAGACACUCAUUUCCCUUUGCAGCCAUUUGCAGUAUUUCAGCACUGUGUUGUCCACUAUUUACAACAGCAGACCAUCCGGGGAAGAAUUCAUGAACAAAGACUUGACUUUAUGUGUUGGGUGGACCCAGCCAGGAGGCUGUGGGAGUGGGGACGCAUUUGUAUUAGUGGUCAGAUUUUUAGUAAAUAUUUAAUCUUAUGAUGACUUUUGCCUUCCUAAGCAGUAUGGCAACAUGAGGAAAUCCCAUGAUCAAUUGGAUAACAGAGAUCUGUUAUGUUAAAUAAAUCUGGUGGACUGAAUUCCAACGACUUCCAACUUAACCCACUAUU
ensembl:lncRNA